UGCCAGACUCCUACGGGAGGCAGCAGUGGGGAAUAUUGCACAAUGGGGGAAACCCUGAUGCAGCAACGCCGCGUGAAGGAAGACGGUUUUCGGAUUGUAAACUUCUAUCAAUAGGGAAGAAAGAAAUGACGGUACCUAAAUAAGAAGCCCCGGCUAACUACGUGCCAGCAGCCGCGGUAAUACGUAGGGGGCAAGCGUUAUCCGGAUUCACUGGGUGUAAAGGGAGCGUAGACGGCGACGCAAGUCUGGAGUGAAAGCCCGGGGCCCAACCCCGGGACUGCUCUGGAAACUGCGGCGCUGGAGUACGGGAGGGGCAGGCGGAAUUCCUGGUGUAGCGGUGAAAUGCGUAGAUAUCAGGAGGAACACCGGCGGCGAAGGCGGCCUGCUGGACCGUGACUGACGUUGAGGCUCGAGAGCGUGGGGAGCAAACAGGAUUAGAUACCCGCGUA
rnacentral:rRNA from 1 species